rnacentral:rRNA from 1 species
CCUACGGGUGGCAGCAGUGGGGAAUAUUGGGCAAUGGGCGCAAGCCUGACCCAGCAACGCCGCGUGAAGGAAGAAGGCUUUCGGGUUGUAAACUUCUUUUCUCAGGGACGAAGCAAGUGACGGUACCUGAGGAAUACGCCACGGCUACCUACGUGCCAGCAGCCGCGGUAAUACGUAGGUGGCAAGCGUUAUCCGGAUUUACUGGGUGUAAAGGGCGUGUAGGCGGGAAAGCAAGUCAGAUGUGAAAACCACGGGCUCAACCUGUGGCCUGCAUUUGAAACUGUUUUUCGUGAGUACGGGAGGGGCAGACGGAAGUCUGAGUGUAGCGGUGAAAUGCGUAGAUAUACGGAGGAAAACCAGUGGCGAAGGCGGAUGGCUGGACAGUAACUGACGCUGAGGCGCGAAAGCGUGGGGAGCAAACAGGAUAGAUACCCCGGUAGUC